CCUACGGGAGGCAGCAGUGAGGAAUAUUGGUCAAUGGACGAGAGUCUGAACCAGCCAUGUAGCGUGAAGGAUGACUGCUCUAUGGGUUGUAAACUUCUUUUAUAAAGGAAUAAAACGAGGCACGUGUGCCUUUUUGCAUGUACUUUAUGAAUAAGGAUCGGCUAACUCCGUGCCAGCAGCCGCGGUCAUACGGAGGAUGCGAGCGUUAUCCGGAUUUAUUGGGUGUAAAGGGAGCGUAGAUGGGUUGUUAAGUCAGUUGUGAAAGUCUGCGGCUCAACCGUAAAAUUGCAAUUGAUACUGGCAGACUUGAGUGCAGGUGAGGUAGGCGGAAUUCGUGGUGUAGCGGUGAAAUGCGUAGAUAUCACGAAGAACACCGAUUGCGAAGGCAGCUUACUAAACUGUGACUGACAUUGAGGCUCGAAAGUGUGGGGAGCAAACAGGAUUAGAUACCCGUGUAGUC
rnacentral:rRNA from 1 species